UCAAAUCCCAAUUCCAAAGCACACAAGAAAUGAAAAGUAUGGACAUAAUGAUGACCCAAGUGUCGAACAAAAGAAAACAUGAGUUGGCUUCUAUUUUAACAUCUAAGAAUAAGCACCGUUAACAAUCUGGUUGAAAAGUGAAAUCCCACUUGUCGAUUCAAUUCAGAGCUGUGCAUCUAAAUAUAGAUUCAGAAACUCCAAAAUGUACUUGUGAAUUUCAACUAAUCCAGCUAAAAGAUGGUAAUAUUACAAAACUUGCUCAAGUAAUGUAAUAUCAGCCACAACAAAAUUGCAUACAUACACCACCUUCAACCCUAUACAUUAUGCAAAAUUAGGCCCUACAGUUCAGAAAGACCUUAAAAGAAAAAUCCCGCAUAUCCUUUCCAACGGCUGAUAUUUCUAUUUUCGAAAAAAAGGUGAUAUUUUAAGACUUGGAGACUGAUUUAUGCAACACGGUCGUUCCUUGAAAGAUCAUNCAAAUCCACUAAUGUGGACCAGUUUGGCUUUUACGGGUUUUAUAUGUCGCCAAUCCGAUGAUGGGUUGCAAUUGAGGUUAUGGUGCUUUGGUGGUGAAGGUGGCGAGAUGUGUAAUGGUGAUGCUGGUAAGAUGAAUUUUGAACUCGUGUUUUGAUGAUGGUGAUGGAAAUUGUGCACAACUGAUGGUGGUGCAGAUUUGGUGAUCAAUCGUGAUAGUGGUAGAUGGUGACUUUUUGUGAUGGUCGUCAUGAUGGAAAUAGG
rnacentral:lncRNA from 1 species